GAUGAACGCUGGCGGCGUGCCUAAUACAUGCAAGUCGAGCGAACAGAUGAGGAGCUUGCUCCUCUGACGUUAGCGGCGGACGGGUGAGUAACAUGUGGAUAACCUACCUAUAAGACUGGGAUAACUUCGGGAAACCGGAGCUAAUACCGGAUAAUAUAUUGAACCGCAUGGUUCAAUAGUGAAAGACGGUUUUGCUGUCACUUAUAGAUGGAUCCGCGCCGCAUUAGCUAGUUGGUAAGGUAACGGCUUACCAAGGCAACGAUGCGUAGCCGACCUGAGAGGGUGAUCGGCCACACUGGAACUGAGACACGGUCCAGACUCCUACGGGAGGCAGCAGUAGGGAAUCUUCCGCAAAGGGCGAAAGCCUGACGGAGCAACGCCGCGUGAGUGAUGAAGGUCUUCGGAUCGUAAAACUCUGUUAUUAGGGAAGAACAAAUGUGUAAGUAACUAUGCACGUCUUGACGGUACCUAAUCAGAAAGCCACGGCUAACUACGUG
rnacentral:rRNA from 1 species